rnacentral:rRNA from 1 species
GACGAACGCUGGCGGCGUGCCUAAUACAUGCAAGUAGAACGCUGAAGGAGGAGCUUGCUCUUCUGGAUGAGUUGCGAACGGGUGAGUAACGCGUAGGUAACCUGCCUGGUAGCGGGGGAUAACUAUUGGAAACGAUAGCUAAUACCGCAUAACAGUAGAUGUUGCUUGACAUUUGCUUAAAAGGUGCAAUUGCACCAUUACCAGAUGGACCUGCGUUGUAUUAGCUAGUUGGUGGGGUAACGGCUCACCAAGGCGACGAUACAUAGCCGACCUGAGAGGGUGAUCGGCCACACUGGGACUGAGACACGGCCCAGACUCCUACGGGAGGCAGCAGUAGGGAAUCUUCGGCAAUGGACGGAAGUCUGACCGAGCAACGCCGCGUGAGUGAAGAAGGUUUUCGGAUCGUAAAGCUCUGUUGUAAGAGAAGAACGAGUGUGAGAGUGGAAAGUUCACACUGUGACGGUAUCUUACCAGAAAGGGACGGCUAACUACGUG